CUACUAGUAUAAAUAUGUCCUGUGUAAUAUUUGGGACAUAGUUAUGCUAAAA
rnacentral:pre_miRNA from 1 species